CGGACGGGUGAGUAACACGUGGAUAACCUACCUAUAAGACUGGGAUAACUUCGGGAAACCGGAGCUAAUACCGGAUAAUAUUUUGAACCGCAUGGUUCAAAAGUGAAAGACGGUCUUGCUGUCACUUAUAGAUGGAUCCGCGCUGCAUUAGCUAGUUGGUAAGGUAACGGCUUACCAAGGCAACGAUGCAUAGCCGACCUGAGAGGGUGAUCGGCCACACUGGAACUGAGGCACGGUCCAG
rnacentral:rRNA from 1 species